rnacentral:lncRNA from 1 species
GGCAACUGCAGAACGGGUAAGUCUGUUAGAUUUCUGUUAACUUGCUGUUUUGACAGGCAUGCACAAGCACACAUAUGACAAAUGACCAAUCUGAUUUUUAAAGUAGUAUUUUGGUUUUAGUUAGUUUUUUAAAAAAUUUUAUAAAAUGGGUCUAGUGCUAUGCACUUGUAAUUCCAGUGCUUGGAAGGGGAAGGAUCAAGAAUUGACUGUGUUUGAAACCAAAUAUCUUUUAGGCCAGUGUAUGCAAUGUGAGACUAUGUCUCAAAAAAAAAAAAAAAAAAAAAAAAAACGAAACAGAAAAGAAUUCAGUUUUAUUUGUACCAAUGUGCAAAAUAUGUCUUUGACAUGAUGAUAGAGAUUGAAUAUGGUUAGAACAAUCAUGGGAUGUUGAUCAUUGGAGGUUCUGCAUUUUUGUUUUUCAUGUUUGUGUGGAGGGGCAUAUCACAGAGAGUGUGUAUAUGCCAGAAAAGAACUGGCGGGCGUUUAUGCUCUCCUUCUGUCAUAUGAGGUCCAGGAAUUGAACUCAGGUCAUCAGUCAUCUCCUGGUGGAAAUAUCUCUUGUGGUUCAAGCCAGCCUCAAACUUACUGUGUAGCAGAGGGCAGCUUUGAGGGUCUAAUCCUCCUGCUUUUACUUCCCAAGUCCUAGAUUUUUGGUUUUGUUUGUUUGUUUGUUUGUUUUUGGUAGAGGGGUUGGGUGGGCCUUUCUGUUUGUUUUUCAGGACAGAGUUUGGCUAUGUAGCCCUGGCUGUCCUGGAACUCACUCUGUAGACCAGGCUGGCCUCAAACUCAGAAAUCUACAUGCCUCUGCCUCUGGAGUGUUGAGAUUAAAGGCGUACACCACUAUCACUCAAUCCAAGUGGUAGGAUUUUUAACCCUGCAUUACCAUAUCCAGUUGAUCCAGUGCUGUGGAUUAAACCCAGGUCCUUGUAUUCUAGGCAAGCACUUUAACAACUCAACUACCCAGCCCAGUGGUUCUGGUUUCCCUUUUUGUUUACUGGGAUCAAUUUUUCCCUAUUGAAAAACCGUUUUAACAUACUCAAACUAUUUGUUACAAAUGUAUUAAAUUAGUUGUCUCAUCUCCACAUAUGUCUGUAAUACAGAUGGGCAGAAUAAACUUGGUCAGUUCACAUCAGUUAGAGAAUCAUCUUUAAAUGAGUUCACAAAAGCAAUUUUUCUCAAAAGUGCUCUGUACUUAAAAUUUAAAAACUAAAUGUUUUGAACUCUAAAGAAAUGUGCUCAGUGUAAAAAACUUUGAAAAUGUAGAAAGG